AGCUCGUUAGCUCAGCGGUUAGAGCGCCCGUUUAAUAUAUUGGUGGUCGGGGGUUCAAAUCCCUCACGAGCUG